rnacentral:rRNA from 1 species
AAACUGGGAUUAGAUACCCCACUAUGCCUAGCCUUAAACAUUGACCACUUACACAAACAAUCCGCCAGGGAACUACGAGCCUCAGCUUAAAACCCAAAGGACUUGGCGGUGCCCCAAACCCACCUAGAGGAGCCUGUUCUAUAAUCGAUAACCCCCGCUUAACCUCACCACUUCUUGCCGAAACCGCCUAUAUACCACCGUCGCCAGCCCACCCCGUGAGGGGAAUGCAGUAGGCAAAAUGGCCCUCGCCAGAACGUCAGGUCAAGGUGUAGCGUAUGAAGUGGAAAGAAAUGGGCUACAUUUUCUGACUCAGAACAACACGAAAGGUCACUAUGAAACCUGACCCAAAGGAGGAUUUAGUAGUAAAGAGAAACAAGAGAGUUCCCUUUAACUCGGCCCUGGGGCGCGCACACACCGCCCGUCACCCUCUUCAACUAGCCGUAUGAAAAUAUUUAAAUAAUUUAGGCAACAAAGAAGAGGCAAGUCGUAACAUGGUAAGUAUACCGGAAGGUGUGCUUGGAUAA